rnacentral:rRNA from 1 species
AUUGAACGCUGGCGGCAGGCUUAACACAUGCAAGUCGAACGGAGUGGCGCACGGGUGAGUAAUGUAUAGCUAAUCUGCCCUACACUAGAGGACAACAGUUGGAAACGGCUGCUAAUACUCUAUAGUGUAGGAUGAGGCUAUAUUGUAUCAGCUAGUUGGUGAGGUACUGGUUCACCAAGGCUAUGACGCAUAACUGGUAUGAGAGGAUGAUCAGUCACACUUGAACUGAGACACGGUCCAGAUGCCUACGGGAGGCAGCAGUAUGUAAUAUUGCUCAAUGGGGGAGAGCCUGAACCAGCCAAGUCGCGUGAAGGAUGACUGCUUAUGGAUGGUAAACUUCUUUUGGAGGGGAAUGUGGCACGUGUGCCUCAGUGAAUGUACCCUACGAAUAAGCAUCGGCUAACUCCGGGCCAGCCGCCGCGGUAAUUC